rnacentral:lncRNA from 1 species
UUCUCUCCAAACUGAAGCAAGAUUUGUUUUUUCUUUUGUUUUGUUUUUUGUUUUUCUUUUAUUUCUUUAACUUUUUAUUGAUUCUUUCUGGAUUUCGCAUCAUGCACCCUGAUCCCACUCAUCUCCCUGUUCCUUCACAUCCACCCUUUGCCCUUAUAACCUCCCCCCAAAAGAAAAUAAAAAACAAAAAUGAAAUAAAAAUAAAACAAAAAAAAUCAUCUCAUUGUGAAAGCUGUAGUGUGUUACAGUGUGUCCCACAGUAUACCCUUUUGUCCUUUUGUCCUAACAUCUUCACUUGCAAAUGUUCGUUUCAGUGAGUCACUGGUCUGGUUCAAGGCCUCUGGCUUCUGCUACACAAUACUAGAUCCUCACUGGGAUUCCUCUAAGAUAUCCUGUUAUUACCCUGUGUCAUAGGGAUUCUGCAGCUUUGCAUCUUGAAGACCAGCUCCUUCAUGUGCUCUAGCAGUUCAUAGAUAAAGUGGAUGUUUAGGUGAGCCAACUCAAAGCUGGAUCUGGGCCCGGGUGGUAGCUGAGUUGGUGAGCCUGCCAGCUCUCCCGCACCCAUAGCACCAGAGUGAGCUCUCUAGCACUGCCCCAACUAGGUCACCAAUGCCAAAGCUAGCAAGGGGCAGGGCUAGCUCUCUUACUUUCCAGCACCCCCACACCCCACUCCUGUCUUACACCCUUCCCCCAACCAGGGCCAGCUCUACUGUGCUGCCCAGAGUGAGAUACAGGACCAGCUCUCCCAAGUGCCACAGCCAGUUAGGAUCGGGGCCAACUCUGCACAGCCCUUAGACAUCAACAUGGUCCCAGUAACAUCCCAGACCAGGAAUGUCCACAGGGCCUCAGGUAGCAGGGCAGGCUACUCACAUCAGGCUAUUCCUCUCCACCCUUGAGUCUCUAGCACCAUCUCUCUUCAUAAUGCUUAAACCUGUCAGCUUCUCUCUCUAUUGUCUCUCCACCACAUACUUGUACAUUGUAGAGGCUCCCUCCACUCCACUUGUGCUUCAUGGUACGGUGGCAGUCAGGCAGCCUCUAAGUGUCCUCCACCAGCCCUCACCAUGUGACGUGAAGCAGGAUUUAUUGCCACCAGUUCUCUAACACUCUGGGUCCCAGUCACGUCCUAAAAUUCAACUAUGUCUCUACCUCAGUGAUUCACAACCUCAGAGGUCACAUAUCAGAUAUUCUACAUACCAAAUAUUUACAUUAAGAUUCAUAACAGUAGCAAAAUUAAUUAUGACAUAGCAAUGAAAUCAUUUUAUGGUUAGGGGUCACCACAACAUGAGGAACUGUUAAUAGGUUACAGCAUUAGGAAGUCUGGAAACCACUGACCCACCUGGAAUUCGUAUAGACUCAACACAUAUUAACAGCUCAAUUUUACAAGACUUGCCCCUACUUCAAAUGUGAAUCACCAAUAUGAGUCCCUGGGUUAUUCAUACUUCUACCCAGUGUGGCUACAAACUGGGCUUCCUAUAUUGCCCUACUAAGGUUCAGUCAUUUUUCUGAUGACUGAAGAAAUUCAUGGAAAUUCUUACUUGUAUUUGCUCAUUGAUUUAUAAAGUAAAUAAUGAAGAAUACUAAUGAUCAGCUAAGCCAGGCAUGGUGAUGCACAGCUUUAAUCCCAGCAUUCUGAGUCAGAGGCAGGUGGAUCUCUGUGGAUCAGAGGCCAGCCAGGUCUACACAGUGAGUUCCAGAACAUCUAGAGUUAUGUACAAAAACCCUGUCUCAAAAUAAAUAAACAAACAAGCAAACAGAUCAGCCACAUAAGAGGGUACCACUGUAAGGCUUUGUCCGUCUAACACUUAUCUACCAGGACUGAAAUUAAAUCCUGCCCCUGAGUCUGCAGGUUCCUUUCUUGUUUGGUGCCUCAUGCAAAUAAGCAAACAGUUGUGGGGGAUGUAGGAGAGUUUAAUGACCAAUGAGUAUAGAGAGAAACUUCAUGUUCUAGAGGCAUGGUUCUUCCUGAGGAAAAAUCCCGAUGGGCUUUUACUAAGGCUAGACUAGGGUAUGGGGCAAUGCAUACUGUCUGGUUCAAGGCCUCUGGCUUCUGCUACACCAUCAAUACCAUCCUCACUGGGAUUCCUCUGGGAUAUCCUGUUAUUACCCCUGUGUCAUAGGGAUCCUGAGGCUUUGAAUCUGCAGGACCAUUUCUACAUUAAUUUUCACAGAGGAAGGGAGAUCUUCAGGAACCAGGCUGCCACUUCUUGUCUUCCUAAUUUGGACAUGGUUCCACCUGCUGUGGCACCUAAGGGUGUAUAUUUUCAUCUUCAGAAGAUUAUAAUGAUGCCAAGGUCACCUGGAAUAUAACAUGAUGUCUAGCUGGUCUUGAUGUGAUGGCAUAACAGCUGGGAGUAUAUUGUCAGCAUACAGGCUUUUAACUUGUGCAAGCCUGCAGUAAUAGCUAAUGGACAACAGGCCACCACACAGCAUCCCACAUGCCCGUCAGAGCAGCCAGUAAACUUUGGGGAACAUAUUUACCAGCUUCUGAUAGAGGAACAGAUUGCUGAUGUGUCUGCUAAAAUUGUUUUAUCAUUUGUUUUUAGUGUUUUCCCCUGAUUACAAGGUUUCAUAAGUUACUUAUAUAUUCUAGACAGAUAUCUUUUAUUACAUACAUUAAUUUGGUCUGUAAAUAUUUCUCCCAAUUGGGCC